ensembl:lncRNA
AUGAUCCAAAAACACAAUGUGGAAUUUUCCAAGUACAGCCAGUGCUGCAGUGGUCAGAGUGAUGGCGUAAAGGAAGACGAAAAGGAAGGAGGCAGAAUGAAGGGUGAACGUGACUUAACACACACCAAAAAAAAACAAACAAACACCCUUCUGAGCCCUUGUGAUGAAGGACCCACCACCUUAUCUUCCUCAGCAAAUUCAGUGGAAAAAUACCAGACAGACAUAAAGAUACAGAGGCAGCUGAGAUGGAGAGCCCCCAAAAACACCGACGAGCUGAAUGUUUAAAGUUAUUGUAAAGUGGAUGCUACAGAAUCUCUUAGUUAGUUUACUUUAAUUUUCAUUUAACUCAUUUAUAAAUAUUACGAAUCUGCCUAAACCCUAAUGGUGUUAAUAAAAAAGACAUACAUGAAAUAAAUUAAAGGUUAUGUAGGCAUAUAUGAAAUUCACUGCCUCUGCAUGUCAGACUACAGCAUCAGCAUCUCAAAUCAAAACAAAUCCCUUGCAGAUAAUGGAAAACACACUUCAAACUGGACACAAACAAAAUAAACAAAUCAAGCAGGUGAUGUUUCCAUGUGUAUAUUUUAAAGAUAUCUUCUUGCUAGGUUCCCACUAUUACAUUUUGCAAUGUAAACGUUAUUGCACCUCUAUGUAAGUCUGACCAAUUACAUGGGAUAAGCUUUGAAAUGUGUUUACUCAUAUCACAUCAUUUCCUAAAUUCCAUUAACUGGGCCUACAUUUUCCCAAAUGACAGAAAAAUUAUUUCCAAUGAAUUGACUGUAGUUUUUUGUCUCUUUUUAGACCUUUGAAAAAGUAAGGAGUCUCUGAAGGCCAGUAUAAAAAAGAUAAUACUGUCUGCCUAAAAAUCAUCAUGCCUCUCUUCAGUAAGUACAGUAAAUGUGGCAAUUUAAUGAUUUAACUUGAAAUACAGCAUUGCUACAGAGUGCAACCGGAGGAUGUGCGUUAAUUCUCAGCAGUGGAUAGAUGGGCUGUUAAGGACAAAUGAUUCCCAGCUGAAUCUGACACACAGCCAUGCCACAGUCAGUUACUGCAGCCUUUUUGGUGUGAAAGUGGAGGAGGUGAUUGGAAACGUGUUAAUGACAUUCUGUGACGACUCGGACGACUGGGCUCCUGCGGUAAUGUGAUAAUGGCUGUAGUUGAGGUCAUUUAGUGGGUAAAUGACUAAGGUAGGUUUUUGCUGCAGUCUGUUGGGACAGUGUGGGAAUGAUGACAUUGUAAAUGGUGGUGAGGGAGAGGGAUAGUGAAGAUACGUCUGUGCGUUACUACGCUAUAGAUCAUUGCGUCACCGGUGAUGGUGGAGGACAUGACAUCAUUUGCCUGAUACUGAUCAAGACCCCACAUAUCCAGUAACCUCAGCAGGGGCACACACAUCCAGUACUUACACACAGACACUCAGUAUAAUUGUAUACGAGAACAUUUACUUAAGUAGAUUUUUGUGUAUCUGUACUUUUUUUUACUCUGACUUUUAUUCCAUUACAUUUGAAAGACAAAUAUUGUACUUUUGACUCCACUAUAUUUCUUUGAAGGUUUCCAUUACGUGUUACUUUUAAGUCAGCAGAUCAAUUUCUGUUUUUCUUUUCUGAAAUGUGAUAGGCCAUAUGCUGUGUUUGUGUGUCACAGGAGAGAAACCAGUCAACUGCUCCUACGUCGUCAGUUUGAACUUGGCAGUGGUAAUGAUGGCUACAGAUAAAGGUGACGAUUCCUCAUCAGAACACCCGUGGCCAUUAUCUGAGGUCUAUGUUUGGGAUUUUUCAAAUGAAGAAAGAUCCAUAUUGUUUUAAAUAUUUGCUCUGUUUUCCACAUACAAACUUCAUCACGGCUCAUGAAAAACCUGAGAAAACAUUUUGAGUUUGUUGAAUUCCAUAUAAACAUUUUAAACAGUUUUCUGUGAUUUUAUGAGUUGCUGUUUUUAUUCUAUGGAUGGUCAAUUUACUCUUUAUGGAUUUUCAUGGAUUUACCCACCAAGUUGUUGUAUUAAGUCCGGGUCCUGUGAGACUCAGUAUCUUCUCUAACUUCUGAUAACAAAACCACAAUCCGCUGACAUUAUAAAGCAAAUAAAUGUACUUUUGAAUACGUAAGUGUUUUUAGAAACAAGUACUCCAAUACUUAAAAAAAAAACUGACUGAGCAAUUUUAAUUUUCAUAGUAUUUGACCAGGAGUAUCUAUACUUUGACUCAAGUUAAGAGUUGUGUACUUUGUCC